GUAAGUGUCCCAUUAUAAGGCAUGGGCUCAGUCACGCACAAUGACUUGGGAGCGAGCUGAGUUCAUAUUCACUGCUAAAGAGAACGUAUAGCUCCAACUGAGAUUCAGGUUCCUCUGAACAAGACCACCACCAGGGGACGUGAGCGAAGAGAGAAGGUACAGUCAGACAGGAGAAAGGAGACCUGUGUUACGCUUCGUUGGAUAUCCGUCAGGGACAGAGGAGACCAAAGAGGAAGACAAAAGCCCAGAACUCUGACUUCAGUACCUACACAGCCAUCAAUACCCUCAGAGUGGGAGGUCUAUACCAUCCAUCAAUACCAGCAAAGUGAGACCUAUACCAUCGAUCAAUACCAGCAGAGUGAGACCUAUACCAGCCAUCAAUUACAGCAGAGUGAGACCUGUACCAGCCAUCAAUACCAGCAGAGUGUGAGACCUGUACCAGCCAUCAAUACCAGCAGAGUGCUGUUUCCUCCAGUCAGGAUGGGAUCUCUGCAGCAGAGGUGGAGCUGAGAGUCAGACCAGGAGACAACAUCACUCUCUACUGUGACUGUAACAUAACUUCUGG
rnacentral:lncRNA from 1 species